rnacentral:rRNA from 1 species
GGAAUUGUUCGCAAUGGGCGCAAGCCUGACGACGCAACGCCGCGUGGAGGAUGAAGGUCUUCGGAUUGUAAACUCCUGUUGACCGGGACGAAUGCGCCUUGACCUAAUACGUCGGGGCAUUGACGGUACCGGUUGAGGAAGCCACGGCUAACUCUGUGCCAGCAGCCGCGGUAAUACAGAGGUGGCAAGCGUUGUUCGGAAUUACUGGGCGUAAAGGGCGCGUAGGCGGCCAACUCAGUCGGACGUGAAAUCCCCGGGCUCAACUCGGGAACUGCGUCCGAUACUGGUUGGCUUGAGUUCGGGAGAGGAAUGUGGAAUUCCAGGUGUAGCGGUGAAAUGCGUAGAUAUCUGGAGGAACACCGGUGGCGAAGGCGGCAUUCUGGACCGAAACUGACGCUGAGGCGCGAAAGCCAGGGGAGCAAA